GAUGAACGCUGGCGGCGUGCCUAAUACAUGCAAGUCGAGCGAACAGACGAGGAGCUUGCUCCUCUGACGUUAGCGGCGGACGGGUGAGUAACACGUGGAUAACCCACCUAUAAGACUGGGAUAACUUCGGGAAACCGGAGCUAAUACCGGAUAAUAUAUUGAACCGCAUGGUUCAAUAGUGAAAGACGUGUUUGCUGUCACUUAUAGCUGGAUCCUCGCCGGAUUGGCUAGUUGGUAAGGUAACGGCUUACCAAGGCGGCCAUGCGUAGCCGACCUGAGAGGGUGUAGGGCCACACAGGAGCUGGGAGGCGGCCCAGAGUCCUACGGGAGGCAGCGGUAGGGACUCUUCCGAGCUGGGCGGAAGCCUGCCGGAGGAGCGCAGCGUGAGUGAUGAGGGUCUUCGGAUCGGAUGACUCUGUUAUUAGGGAAGAACAAAUGUGUAAGUGACUAUGCACGUCUUGACGGUACCUAGUCAGAAAGCCACGGCUAACUACGUG
rnacentral:rRNA from 1 species